CACCUGAUUCUUAAAGGUAAAUAUCAGCUGGUAAUUCUGGGAGCUAUGCCUGAUUAUGAAACACUCGGAAUUUCAGUUGGUAUCGACUUUUUCGAAUUG
rnacentral:pre_miRNA from 1 species